rnacentral:tRNA from 1 species
GUGGGGCUCAGCAGUUAAGAGCACUGGCUAAUCUUCCAGAAGACCUGGGUUCAAUUCCUAGCACCCACA